rnacentral:rRNA from 1 species
GACGAACGCUGGCGGCGUGCCUAAUGCAUGCAAGUCGCACGCACGGAGCUUGCUCCGUGAGUGGCGCACGGCUGAGGAUCACGUGGGAACAUGCCUCCUUAGUGGGGGACAACACCGCGAAAGCGGUGCUAAUCCCGCAUACGCUCGUGCAAACGAGGAAAGCGGUAACGCGCAGGGAGAGUGGCCCGCGGCCCAUCAGGUCGUUGGUGGGGUAAUGGCCUACCAAGCCAAUGACGGGUAGCUGGUCUGUGAGGACAGACAGCCAGACUGGGACUGAGACACGGCCCAGACUCCUACGGGAGGCAGCAGCAAGGAAUUUUUCGUCAAUGGGCGCAAGCCUGAACGAGCAACGCCGCGUGGAGGAUGAC